rnacentral:rRNA from 1 species
UACGAAGGGGGCUAGCGUUGUUCGGAAUUACUGGGCGUAAAGCGCGCGCAGGCGGUCUUCCAAGUCAGUGGUGAAAGCCCGGAGCUCAACUCCGGAAUUGCCAUUGAAACUGUUAGACUUGAGGAUGAGAGAGGUGAGUGGAAUUCCCAGUGUAGAGGUGAAAUUCGUAGAUAUUGGGAAGAACACCGGUGGCGAAGGCGGCUCACUGGCUCAUUACUGACGCUCAGGCGCGAAAGCCAGGGGAGCAAACGGG